AUUGAUUGAUGGUGCUUGCACCUGAUUGAUUUUGGUCGCCAACGAGUGGCGGACGGGUGAGUAACACGUAGGUAACCUGCCCAGAAGCGGGGGACAACAUUUGGAAACAGAUGCUAAUACCGCAUAACAACGUUGUUCGCAUGAACAACGCUUAAAAGAUGGCUUCUCGCUAUCACUUCUGGAUGGACCUGCGGUGCAUUAGCUUGUUGGUGGGGUAACGGCCUACCAAGGCGAUGAUGCAUAGCCGAGUUGAGAGACUGAUCGGCCACAAUGGGACUGAGACACGGCCCAUACUCCUACGGGAGGCAGCAGUAGGGAAUCUUCCACAAUGGGCGCAAGCCUGAUGGAGCAACACCGCGUGAGUGAAGAAGGGUUUCGGCUCGUAAAGCUCUGUUGUUAAAGAAGAACACGUAUGAGAGUAACUGUUCAUACGUUGACGGUAUUUAACCAGAAAGUCACGGCUAACUACGUGCCAGCAGCCGCGGUAAUACGUAGGUGGCAAGCGUUAUCCGGAUUUAUUGGGCGUAAAGAGAGUGCAGGCGGUUUUCUAAGUCUGAUGUGAAAGCCUUCGGCUUAACCGGAGAAGUGCAUCGGAAACUGGAUAACUUGAGUGCAGAAGAGGGUAGUGGAACUCCAUGUGUAGCGGUGGAAUGCGUAGAUAUAUGGAAGAACACCAGUGGCGAAGGCGGCUACCUGGUCUGCAACUGACGCUGAGACUCGAAAGCAUGGGUAGCGAACAGGAUUAGAUACCCUGGUAGUCCAUGCCGUAAACGAUGAGUGCUAGGUGUUUGGAAGGGUUUCCGCCCUUCAGUGCCGGAGCUAACGCAUUAAGCACUCCGCCUGGGGAGUACGACCGCAAGGUUGAAACUCAAAGGAAUUGACGGGGGCCCGCACAAGCGGUGGAGCAUGUGGUUUAAUUCGAAGCUACGCGAAGAACCUUACCAGGUCUUGACAUCUUGCGCCACCCUAG
rnacentral:rRNA from 2 species